GAUGAACGCUGGCGGCGUGCCUAAUACAUGCAAGUCGAGCGAACAGACGAGGAUCUUGCUCCUCUUACGUUAGCGGCGGACGGGUGAGUAACACGUGGAUAACCUACCUAUAAGACUGGGAUAACUUCGGGAAACCGGAGCUAAUACCGGAUAAUAUAUUGAACCGCAUGGUUCAAUAGUGAAAGACGGUUUUGCUGUCCCUUAUAGAUGGAUCCUCGCCGCAUUAGCUAGUUGGUAAGGUAACGGCUUACCAAGGCAACGAUGCGUAGCCGACCUGAGAGGGUGAUCAGCCACACUGGAACUGAGACACGGUCCAGACUCCUACGGGAGGCAGCAGUAGGGAAUCUUCCCCAAUGGGCGAAAGCCUGACGGAGCAACGCCGCGUGAGUGAUGAAGGUCUUCGGAUCGUAAAACUCUGUUAUUAGGGAAGAACAAAUGUGUAAGUAACUAUGCACGUCUUGACGGUACCUAAUCAGAAAGCCACGGCUAACUACGUG
rnacentral:rRNA from 1 species